CAAUAGCAAUCAGCUACAUUGCUGAAGUAAUAAUAAAUCAUUAAAAGAUCAAAAUUAUUGAAAAUAUAUCAAUCUAAUUAUGAACCAAGACGAAAUUCAUGAUCUUGUUUGUGAAACAAACAGAAAUAUAAUAAAAUUAAAAAAACUAUUAGAAUUAACUCAAAAGUUUCGAGUUGAAGCUGUUGAACUGGAGAUGAUGAUAUUUCAAAUGUAUCAAUCAGUUCUCUUGAAAGAACUGGAAGAAUUAAAAGCAAGAUCUAAUAAUUCUGAUAAGAAUACAGAAAAAAAAUAAAUAAUUAAUAUGAAUAAUUCACAGCAAUCCAAUAUAUUAUUUAUCUAAAAGACAUUUGUUUAAAAAUUUUACUUAUGAUAAGAAUAUAAUCAGAUCUAUUAUAAUAAUUAUUGUAAAAGAAUUAAUUUAGAUGUUUACAAAAAAAAAUGUAUUAAUUUGUGAAUGA